UGGUAGGUGGUAUAUUCAGUAGAUGGUAAAUAAAUGACCAAUUCUUCAGUGAGACACUGACUUUCUAUACCUGCAUUUAUGUACCUUGAUUUUUAAAAAUUUUUGGAUAAACUUGCAUGUGUUUGGCACAAAGAGAGCACAAAGUAGAGGCCCUUCAAGUUCUCUUCAGCUGGUACAAGAAGAGAUUAUUUUGACUGGUCUUUACGGUCUUCAGCAAAAGAGAUUAUAAUAAUCAUUUUUUUUUGGGAGCUAAUAAUAUUUUCAAUUGAAGGUAGUUUUUCCACAUGCACAUCUAUGCUCAUUAGCAAAGGAUGUAGUGCACCUCCCUGACUACUUUAGGAUUUUCUUUUCAGAUUUUAUGGAACUUGUUAACCUCUGGAAUGCCUAAGUUUAAAUAAAAAUAUUGUUUUGAGUUUAUAUUGAGCUAUAUAUUUUAUCUGUAUAAUCUAUUAUAUAUGUAUUGCAUAGAGUUUAUAUUGAGCUGUAUAUAAUAGCCAAUAUUUGGGGCUCUAUGCUUGGAACAUUUUAAGAAAAAUAUUCUAUUUUGAUUAUAUGGUCCAGGAAUUAAUCUAUUUUUAUUUUUCAUUGCAGAUGGAGUCGGGUGGUACAGUUUUGAGUACCAACUGGUCUGAUGUAGGUAAAAGGAAAGUUGAAAUCAAUCCUCCUGAUGAUAUGGAAUGGAAAAAGUACUAAAUAAAUUAAUUUGCUCUCAUUGUAUUGUGUAUAUUCACCUAAUGCCCAUUGUGUAUUGAUAUUGCAUUCUUGAAUUUUGAACACUGAAUAUCUUUUUGAAAGAUUAUACUUCUUUACCUCUUUGUGCUUUAGAAAUUAUUUUCCUUCAAGUGUUCAAGUCUAAUGAAGAAUGAAGAUAACAUUUUAUCACUUCUGUCCUUAAAGAUUUCAGACAUGGUGAAACUGAAUAAAGCGUGUCAUUUGCUCCUAGAUAGAUUCAUUCUAUCUAGUUGUGGGGAUGGAGAAAUCUUUAAUGGUAUAUUUUUGGUUAUUGCCUUAUUUUUGAUGCAGUAUUCUGUCAGUAAUUUAUUAGACCUGGCAGCUUUGGGUGAGCUUAGAUUUUUCACCUUCAGUGUUACAUUGUGUUUGCUUUUAAAAACUGCUUUUGAAUGGAGUUGUAAAUACAAUUUUUCUAUGAAGAUGUUUGGUUUAUUUACCUUUUUCUUAAGUUUUUAAUGAGAACUUUGAGAAAUUAUCACAGGGAAUUCCCAUGUAGUUCUUUUAAUGGGAAGAAUUUGUAAUUUUAAUUGCACUGAGAUAUUUUGGUCGUUACCUUGCAAGUUUCUGUAUAAAACAUAGAUACCUGAGUUUUAACACACUGCAAGUUUAUACUAAGGAUAAUCUGUGAAGGUGGGGCAAAGAAGGUUCUAGGAAAGCCCAACUCCACUUGCUUCUUUUAUCACGACAGGAUUCUUGAAAUUACAGCAUUGAUGGGUUUUUUGGUAUUUUUUUUCUUUAUUAGAAAAUCUCUGUUGUCACGUCCCCGUGAUUACUUUGGUUUCAUUGGUUUAUGGUAAUUGCUGUGAGAGUAAAUUAAUGUGUAUAUGUUUAGUAUUUACUCUGUGCCUAGAAUAUAUAGAUAUCAUGAGAAUACAAAAAGUAAAAGACAUGAUUAUUAACUUCAAAGAGCUUAUAAAUGUAGCAGGGAAAAAAAUAACAUUCAUGAAGGAACUGUGGAAAGAUUGAAUGCUGAACUCGGUAUAAAUACACUUUAGAGACAGGAAAAUGUUCUGUGAUUAAAAUUGUUUACAGUCUAGGCUUUUAUAAAGUAUAGGUUAUGGAUGACCUGUAGAUCUGACUUUGUUUUCUCACCAUGAUUUUCUCAACUGUAAUACCCCAGAUGUUGGUCUCAGCUCUGUUAGGUGUCACUAACAUUUUUAUGGCAAAGCACUACUCUAUACCCUCAGAGCAGGGGGAGUGGGAGGCAAACGGGUCAUCAUUUCAGCCUCCAAAACAGUAGGAAUUCAGCUCCUUCCUUCUAGUCCUUUGUUGUGGGGUGUAGGGGAGUUACUAAGGAAAGUUUCAGUAAGGUGAUACCAUAUAGUGCCCAAACCUGUUGUUAUAGCUUGUUUAAGCAUUCUAGAGUUUUCACUUGUCCUUCUGUCCACUUAGAGCUACUAGAUACAUUUUUUUCUUCUUGAACACUGAAGGAAAAGGCAAAAUUAAGUUUUGGUUGGAUGGAUUUCUAAAGUUUUCUUCUUAGGAAAAUAGGAUAGUGACUUUUGUAUUCUGUAUGUUAAAUUUUCUCAGUACCAUUAAUCCUAAGAUGAAGAGGAAGGCUAUUGCUGCAGAGGCAUAGUUGAGGACAUAUAGCACUACACCAGAGACAAGAAUGCUUAGCUCUAGCAAGUCUUCUGUCAUUGACUACCUUCAUAAUCUUCAGCAGGUUUAGGCCUUUCUUAGUUCCUUUGUAAAUAAUCCAUAGAGUCUUAGAGUUAUAAUUAAAGGUCCAUGGUUCUAAAUACAGAAGCAUAUUUUUGCCGCUUAACUUUUUCUUUCUUAAAAAUGACACUAUUAAAAUAGCUGUUUCUGACCAGGUGCGGUAGCUCAUGCUUGUAAUCCCAGCAUUUUGGGAGGCGGAGGUGGGCAGAUCACCUGAGGUCAGGAGUUCAAGACCAGCCUGGCCAACAUGGUGAAACCCUGUGUCUACUAAAAAUGCAAAAAUUAGCUGGGUGUAGUGGCAUGCACCUGUGGUCCCAGCUACUUGGGAGGCUCAGGCAGGGAGAAUUGCUUGAACCGGGAGGCAGAGGGUGCAGUGAGCCAAGAUCAUGCCACUGCACUCCAGCCUGG
rnacentral:sRNA from 1 species